UAGCCUUUGCUCUUAGUCCACGAACAUGCU
rnacentral:piRNA from 1 species